AACGAACGCUGGCGGCAGGCUUAACACAUGCAAGUCGAACGCCCCGCAAGGGGAGUGGCAGACGGGUGAGUAACGCGUGGGAAUCUACCCAGAUCUUCGGAACAACUGAGGGAAACUUCAGCUAAUACCGGAUACGCCCUACGGGGGAAAGAUUUAUCGGUUCUGGAUGAGCCCGCGUUGGAUUAGCUAGUUGGUGAGGUAAAGGCUCACCAAGGCGACGAUCCAUAGCUGGUCUGAGAGGAUGAUCAGCCACACUGGGACUGAGACACGGCCCAGACACCUACGGGAGGCAGCAGUGGGGAAUAUUGGACAAUGGGCGAAAGCCUGAUCCAGCCAUGCCGCGUGAGUGAUGAAGGCCUUAGGGUUGUAAAGCUCUUUCAGUAGGGAAGAUAAUGACGGUACCUACAGAAGAAGCCCCGGCUAACUUCGUGCCAGCAGCCGCCGUAACAC
rnacentral:rRNA from 1 species